GGCGCCGGCGCGCGCAGGCCGCGGGGUUGAAGGGUUCCGAGUCGCCGCUGCUGUGCUGCUUGCUCAGCCUCGGCCUGGACCUGGGCCUGGGCCCUUGCGCGCCCGGCUGCGGGCGGGCUGGGGUGACAUCGGCUCAGGCGCCUAGCUCGCCACGGCGUGCGUGAACACCCCUUCCCUCUAACCUCGGGCUCCGCAAGCUUCUUUAUGGACGAUGAUUAUUAAACUUGGACAGGGUCGGUUGGGUGUUUAAACAUCACCGUGUACUGUUUAUAGACUUCUAUGCAAUCAAGAGAUCUGGGCUAAGUUGACAUUCUUGUUCAUCUGCCUACGUAUUGUUUUUCUCAGCCUCAAUCAUAAAUGUGUCCGGAAGUUCCUCAGCACUCCAAUCACUUGAUCUCAUAUUCUGUAUCUGAGCCGGUAGUAAUAAGGAGCUAAGUUUGGUAUCUUACUCUUGUAAGCCCCAGCAUUCGGGAAGCUGGACUGAUUGUUGUUUAUUGCAUACUUGCUUGGGUUACAGCGUGAGACAAAAGAAGAAAAGAAAACAAAACGAAAUAAUCGGGUCAUAGCGGUGCAGGCAUGUAAUCCCGGCACCAGGACCGCAGAGGCAGAAUUGCAGAAAGAUUGGAGCCAACCUUAUCUACAGGCUCAGUACCAAGCCUGCCAGGCUACGUAGCAAGGCCCCAUCUCAAACCAAAACGUACUACGGACUCAGAAAUGAUCAGAAGGACACUUCUCUAAAUGUGGGACUUAGAGGAAGAUUGUCUCAUCCAUCCGUAUCAGGCAGGUUUUGGUAUUUGGUCGUGUAAUACCUCACAGCCAAUAUUCUAUACCACCAUACUGUGCAGAAGUCUGAAGAAGACCCCACUACCAAUCUUCCUUCCCUGUCCAUUCCCAAGGAGUACCAACAUGAUUUCCUACC
rnacentral:lncRNA from 1 species